rnacentral:rRNA from 1 species
CUUUAUGGAGCCAGCCGCCGAAGGUGGGACAGAUGAUUGGGGUGAAGUCGUAACAAGGUAGCCGUAUCGGAAGGUGCGGCUGGAUCACCUCCUUUCUAAGGA